rnacentral:rRNA from 1 species
GUGCACCAGGCGCGAAACCUCCGCAAUACACGAAAGUGUGACGGGGCCAUCCCGAGUGCCGUCCGCUGAGGACGGCUUUUCCCCAGUGUACACAGCUGGGGGAAUAAGGAGAGGGCAAGCCUGGUGUCAGCCGCCGCGGUAAUACCAGCUCUCCGAGUGGUGGGGACGCUUAUUGGGCCUAAAGCAUCCGUAGCCGGCUGGGCAAGUCCUCCGUUAAAUCCAACGAUUCAAUCGUUGGGCUGCGGGGGAUACUGUCCAGCUUGGGGGCGGGAGAGGCCGACGGUAUUCCCGGGGUAGGGGUGAAAUCCUAUAAUCCCGGGAGGACCACCAGUGGCGAAGGCUGUCGGCUAGAACGCGCCCGACGGUGAGGGAUGAAAGCUGGGGGAGCGAACCGGAUUAGAUACCCCU